rnacentral:lncRNA from 10 species
GUUCCUCCCACCACGACUCAUGGACCAGUCAUUACAAUAGCCUGCCAAACCAACCCACCUUUCAAAACCCCACUCCAGGGCCCCUGCUUCAGGACUCGCAGAUCUACUCUCCCUGCUCAGAUAUCCUGCAGUUUCCCACCAAUCAUGGCACUCCCAAGCCGUUACGGGCAAUGCACACAGCAGCUGAGAAAGAUCCAGUACAGUGUCCACAGCCGCUGGCCUCAGUGAACAUGGCAAAACUGAGGCUCCGAAGAGUGGGGAGCUGGCCUAAGGUCUUGAAGCCAGAGACAGCCAGAGCUGGGACUCAAGCCA